rnacentral:rRNA from 1 species
AUUGCACGCUGGCGGCAGGCCUAACACAUGCAAGUCGAGCGGAGCGGCGGACGGGUGAGUAAUGCCUAGGAAUCUGCCUGGUAGUGGGGGAUAACGUCCGGAAACGGGCGCUAAUACCGCAUACUAUCAGAUGAGCCUAGGUCGGAUUAGCUAGUUGGUGGGGUAAAGGCCGACAAAGGCGACGAUCCGUAACUGGUCUGAGAGGAUGAUCAGUAAAACUGGAACUGGGACACGGUCGAGAGUCCUGCGUGAGUCAUCAGUGGGGAAUAUUGGACAAUGGGCGAAAGCCUGAUCCAGCCAUGCCGUGUGUGUGAAGAAGGUCUUCGGAUUGUAAAGCACUUUAAGUUGGGAGGCGUUACCAACAGAAUAAGCACCUGCUAACUGCGUGCCAGCAGCCGCGGUAAUUC